rnacentral:rRNA from 1 species
UGGGGAAUUUUGGACCAUGGGGGAAACCCCGAUCCAGCCAUCCCGCGUGUGCGAUGAAGGCCUUCGGGUUGUAAAGCACUUUUGGCAGGAAAGAAACGUCAUGGGUUAAUACCCCGUGAAACUGACGGUACCUGCAGAAUAAGCACCGGCUAACUACGUGCCAGCAGCCGCGGUAAUACGUAGGGUGCAAGCGUUAAUCGGAAUUACUGGGCGUAAAGCGUGCGCAGGCGGUUCGGAAAGAAAGAUGUGAAAUCCCAGAGCUCAACUUUGGAACUGCAUUUUUAACUACCGGGCUAGAGUGUGGCAGAGGGAGGUGGAAUUCCGCGUGUAGCAGUGAAAUGCGUAGAUAUGCGGAGGAACACGGAUGGCGAAGGCAGCCUCCUGGGAUAACACUGACGCUCAUGCACGAAAGCGUUGGGAGCAAACAGG